rnacentral:rRNA from 1 species
UAUUUGAUAGUACCUUACUACUUGGAUAACCGUGGUAAUUCUAGAGCUAAUACAUGCUGAAAAUCCCGACUUCGGAAGGGAUGUAUUUAUUAGAUUAAAAACCAAUGCCCUCUGGGCUCCUUGGUGAUUCAUAAUAACUUUUCGAAUCGCAUGGCCUUGCGCCGGCGAUGGUUCAUUCAAAUUUCUUCCCUAUCAACUUUCGAUGUUUGGGUAUUGGCCAAACAUGGUCGCAACGGGUAACGGAGGGUUAGGGCUCGACCCCGGAGAAGGAGCCUGAGAAACGGCUACUACAUCCAAGGAAGGCAGCAGGCGCGCAAAUUACCCAAUCCCGAUUCGGGGAGGUAGUGACAAUAAAUACUGAUACAGGGCUCUUUUGGGUCUUGUAAUUGGAAUGAGUACAAUUUAAAUCUCUUAACGAGGAACAAUUGGAGGGCAAGUCUGGUGCCAGCAGCCGCGGUAAUUCCAGCUCCAAUAGCGUAUAUUAAAGUUGUUGUGGUUAAAAAGCUCGUAGUUGAACCUUGGGCCUGGCUGGCCGGUCCGCCUCACCGCGUGCACUGGUCCGGCCGGGCCUUUCCCUCUGUGGAACCCCAUGCUCUUCACUGGGCGUGGCGGGGAAACAGGACUUUUACUUUGAAAAAAUUAGAGUGCUCCAGGCAGGCCUAUGCUCGAAUACAUUAGCAUGGAAUAAUAAAAUAGGACGCGUGGUUCUAUUUUGUUGGUUUCUAGGACCGCCGUAAUGAUUAAUAGGGACAGUCGGGGGCAUCAGUAUUCAAUUGUCAGAGGUGAAAUUCUUGGAUUUAUUGAAGACUAACUACUGCGAAAGCAUUUGCCAAGGAUGUUUUCAUUAAUCAGGAACGAAAGUUAGGGGAUCGAAGACGAUCAGAUACCGUCGUAGUCUUAACCAUAAACUAUGCCGACUAGGGAUCGGACGAUGUUAUUUUU